UUGGACACCAACCAGUAUGCUGGGAUUCAAUUCUGGCACUACCUACACGGAGUUAGAGCAGACCCCAUAAAUUAAAGGGUGUGGUCCACAAUAAGACUGUUCUCAUUUCUGACUGACUGGCUGCAAAUCUGGGAGGUUCCCACGAUCCCCCUCAGGUUUGAUAACUCACUAGAAUGGUUCAAAGAACGCAGGAAAGUGCCAUGCUACGGUCACCGUUUUAUUGUAAAGGAUGCAAGUCAGAAACAGCCAAAUGAAGAGGUACGUACGGCAAGUUCUGGAGGGUUGCAAACACAGAGCUUCCGUGUUCCGUCUCUGUGGAAUCAAGGCACAUCACCUUCCCAGCACGGUGACGUGUUCCCCAACCAGAAGUCUCCACCAAGCUUCAGUGUCCAGAGUUUGUUUUGAGAUUUCUUUAUAACGGCACGGUUGAUCGAACCAUUGGCCAUGUGACAUGUGGCUCAACCAUCAGCCCCCACCCUUCCCUGGAGGUUGGGAGGUCAGGCUGAUGCCAGUGGCCCUAACUCGCUCAUCAAUCACAUGGUCGGUCUUUCCAGCACGAUCAGAGCACCCUGAAACUAACCGGGGGCCCACAUUCUGACUCAUGCGUUGGCUGUGAGCUUGAGGAAGUCAUGACAUUCUCUAUAGAAGGGAACUGGAGCGAUCCCUCAACUCAGCGCAGAUAGCAUUCUGAUAACAGGAGCUUCAAGAUCACUGGAAACAAAGCACUGCUGUUCACUUGUGCGGUCUGGCCCUUGCAGACAGAUGAGGUUCCCUGCAGCCGAGCCCUGCCUGACUCCUGAGAGAACCCCGGUCCGAAGGCAGCUGUGAGGAGCCUGGCCCGCAUUCAGGGGCGACUUCGUGUUGCGAUCCCGGCCACCAUGUCACAGGGACUGAUGUGGCUGGCUGGGUCCUUGACCUUCUGCUGUAUGCCUCACUUCUCUUCCCCUCUGGAACCCGGUUGCUCACGUCCAACCCGGAAGGGGCGGUGGCUGAGAUGGAAGGGGAGGAAAACCUGAGAGGGGACACUGUACCUCUGGGCUCUGCAUGGUCUUCAACUCAACUUACCCACAACAUGAAGUUCGUGCGGAAUGGAAGGUUCAAGAAGUCUCUUUUCCAGGAGACUUUGCAGUCUUUCUUAAUCACCGAAAGUUUGCCUUAGGGUUCAUCGAGAAGAUCCAACCAACGUUUUCAGAUGGGUGUAGGCGUGCGACUCGGAUCUCUCCCACAUGGCUUUGAAGACCCCAGCAACAGUCAGCUUCCACGGUGUGUGGGGCUCUGGGCUUGGGUCGGAGGGCUGGCCCCAGGCUCCUGUGGGGAUACCCCGCUCCCCCACCUUUCCCCCAGGGACCCCUUUGUGGCUCCCAACAUGCUGUCCUGCAGAAAGCUAGUGCUGGCCGCAUCUGUUCCUUGGGCUGGUCAAUCCCCAUGUUAAGAAUGGGUGGCUCAGUCGGUUAAGCGUCCGACUUCGGCUCGGGUCACGAUCUCACGGUUCGUGAGUCCGAACCCCGCGUCGGGCUCUGUGCU